AAGCCUACGGGGGGCAGCAGCCGCGGUAAUACGUAGGGGGCAAGCGUUAUCCGGAUUUACUGGGUGUAAAGGGAGCGUAGACGGCGAUGCAAGUCAGAAUUGAAGGCCCGCGGCUCAACUGCGGGACUGCUUUUGAAACUGUAUAGCUUGAGUGCAGGAGAAGUAAGCGGAAUUCCUAGUGUAGCGGUGAAAUGCGUAGAUAUUAGGAGGAACACCAGUGGCGAAGGCGGCUUACUGGACUGUAACUGACGUUGAGGCUCGAAAGCGUGGGGAGCAAACAGGUUUAGAAACCCGUGUAGUCCAGA
rnacentral:rRNA from 1 species